rnacentral:rRNA from 1 species
GGGACACGUGGUAUCCUGUCUGAAUAUGGGGGGACCAUCCUCCAAGGCUAAAUACUCCUGACUGACCGAUAGUGAACCAGUACCGUGAGGGAAAGGCGAAAAGAACCCCGGCGAGGGGAGUGAAAAAGAACCUGAAACCGUGUACGUACAAGCAGUGGGAGCACGCUUAGGCGUGUGACUGCGUACCUUUUGUAUAAUGGGUCAGCGACUUAUAUUCUGUAGCAAGGUUAACCGAAUAGGGGAGCCGAAGGGAAACCGAGUCUUAACUGGGCGUUAAGUUGCAGGGUAUAGACCCGAAACCCGGUGAUCUAGCCAUGGGCAGGUUGAAGGUUGGGUAACACUAACUGGAGGACCGAACCGACUAAUGUUGAAAAAUUAGCGGAUGACUUGUGGCUGGGGGUGAAAGGCCAAUCAAACCGGGAGAUAGCUGGUUCUCCCCGAAAGCUAUUUAGGUAGCGCCUCGUGAAUUCAUCUCCGGGGGUAGAGCACUGUUUCGGCAAGGGGGUCAUCCCGACUUACCAACCCGAUGCAAACUGCGAAUACCGGAGAAUGUUAUCACGGGAGACACACGGCGGGUGCUAACGUCCGUCGUGAAGAGGGAAACAACCCAGACCGCCAGCUAAGGUCCCAAAGUCAUGGUUAAGUGGGAAACGAUGUGGGAAGGCCCAGACAGCCAGGAUGUUGGCUUAGAAGCAGCCAUCAUUUAAAGAAAGCGUAAUAGCUCACUGGUCGAGUCGGCCUGCGCGGAAGAUGUAACGGGGCUAAACCAUGCACCGAAGCUGCGGCAGCGACGCUUAUGCGUUGUUGGGUAGGGGAGCGUUCUGUAAGCCUGCGAAGGUGUGCUGUGAGGCAUGCUGGAGGUAUCAGAAGUGCGAAUGCUGACAUAAGUAACGAUAAAGCGGGUGAAAAGCCCGCUCGCCGGAAGACCAAGGGUUCCUGUCCAACGUUAAUCGGGGCAGGGUGAGUCGACCCCUAAGGCGAGGCCGAAAGGCGUAGUCGAUGGGAAACAGGUUAAUAUUCCUGUACUUGGUGUUACUGCGAAGGGGGGACGGAGAAGGCUAUGUUGGCCGGGCGACGGUUGUCCCGGUUUAAGCGUGUAGGCUGGUUUUCCAGGCAAAUCCGGAAAAUCAAGGCUGAGGCGUGAUGACGAGGCACUACGGUGCUGAAGCAACAAAUGCCCUGCUUCCAGGAAAAGCCUCUAAGCAUCAGGUAACAUCAAAUCGUACCCCAAACCGACACAGGUGGUCAGGUAGAGAAUACCAAGGCGCUUGAGAGAACUCGGGUGAAGGAACUAGGCAAAAUGGUGCCGUAACUUCGGGAGAAGGCACGCUGAUAUGUAGGUGAAGUCCCUCGCGGAUGGAGCUGAAAUCAGUCGAAGAUACCAGCUGGCUGCAACUGUUUAUUAAAAACACAGCACUGUGCAAACACGAAAGUGGACGUAUACGGUGUGACGCCUGCCCGGUGCCGG